GAUGUGAGAUAUUUAUACCCGUCUCGCUUAAAUCUGGGCUAUUUAUCGCAUUUGAUCUCGACCGUCCGAUCACGUUUAAAGAGAAAACAAAUAUAAACCGUUCAUCACGUGUAAUCGCUACCGUCCAAUCGCACCUGAUGAGGGAACAAAUUCGGAUCGUCCACGCAUGCGAGAACGCUUCGGGGACGUGCGAUCGCGAGC
rnacentral:lncRNA from 1 species